GUUUGAUCAGUCUGUGGUGUAGAUCUACAGUGUUCUGUUCUACGCUGCAGUCUGCUGAGGAGGAAGUAUCAAACACAAAGAUGAAGACGUCUGAACAAACUGGUGAAAAAGGCUGGAUCUGUGGAGGAUGUGGUGGAGAGAUCUACACUGAGGAAGGUGGAGACUAUUCUAAAGAACAUGGAUCACCCACUUCACAACACCCUGAUGGACCAAAGGACCGAUGGUGGUGGACGGCUCCUCUCUCUUCACUGCAGGACAGAAAGAUUCAGAAGAUCUUUGGAC